CAGCCGCCGCGGUAAUACGUAGGUGGCAAGCGUUAUCCGGAUUUACUGGGUGUAAAGGGAGCGUAGACGGAAUGGCAAGUCUGAAGUGAAAUGCCCGGGCUCAACCCGGGAACUGCUUUGGAAACUGUCGAUCUGGAGUGUUGGAGAGGUAAGUGGAAUUCCUGGUGUAGCGGUGAAAUGCGUAGAGAUCAGGAAGAACACCGGAGGCGAAGGCGGCUUACUGGACAAAGACUGACGUUGAGGCUCGAAAGCGUGGGAAGCAAACAGGAUUAGAUACCCCAGUAGUCCCUGUCUCUUAUAC
rnacentral:rRNA from 1 species